rnacentral:rRNA from 1 species
UACGAAGGGGGCUAGCGUUGCUCGGAAUCACUGGGCGUAAAGCGCACGUAGGCGGAUUGCUAAGUCAGGGGUGAAAUCCUGGAGCUCAACUCCAGAACUGCCUUUGAUACUGGCGAUCUUGAGUCCGGGAGAGGUGAGUGGAACUGGCGAGUGUAGAGGUGAAAUUCGUAGAUAUUCGCAAGAACACCAGUGGCGAAGGCGGCUCACCGGCCCGGUACUGGCGCUGAGUGCGGUAAGCGGUGGGAAGCAACAAGGGUACA